rnacentral:rRNA from 1 species
CGGGACGGGUGAGUAAUGUCUGGGAAACUGCCUGAUGGAGGGGGAUAACUACUGGAAACGGUAGCUAAUACCGCAUAACGUCGCAAGACCAAAGAGGGGGACCUUAGGGCCUCUUGCCAUCGGAUGUGCCCAGAUGGGAUUAGCUAGUAGUGGGGUAACGGCUCACCUAGGCGACGAUCCCUAGCUGGUCUGAGAGGAUGACCAGCCACACUGGAACUGAGACACGGUCCAG